rnacentral:rRNA from 1 species
CAAUAGCGUAUAUUUAAGUUGUUGCAGUUAAAAAGCUCGUAGUUGGAUUUCGGAUGGGACUUGCCGGUCCGUCGUUUCGAUGUGCACUGGCCAGUCCUAUCUUGUUGUCGGGGACUAGCUCCUGGGCUUCACUGUCCGGGACUAGGAGCUGACGAGGUUACUUUGAGUAAAUUAGAGUGUUCAAAGCAAGCCUACGCUCUGAAUACAUUAGCAUGGAAUAACACGAUAGGACUCUGGCUUAUCUUGUUGGUCUGUGAGACCAGAGUAAUGAUUAAGAGGGACAGUCGGGGGCAUUCGUAUUUCAUUGUCAGAGGUGAAAUUCUUGGAUUUAUGAAAGACGAACUUCUGCGAAAGCAUUUGUCAAGGGUGUUUUCAUUAA